CAGCACAGAAGCCGUGGUGGUGUCAUGGAAUAUUGUCAAUUUCGGUUACAUUUCAUCAUGGUCAAGUCAACUCCAGGAGGCAGCAUCAUGGACGAUUUGGCUUAUGUUCUGCUUUUGUCUUCUACAGAACCUUGUGUCUCACUGUUGUCUCCUUCCUGGCUGGGGUUAUCACAUGGCAUAUCCAACUGUGAGUGUGGGAAGAUGGCAUAAUCCUCUGACUGUGUCAGAGUCUUAGGAAAUUGUGACUGUUAUAAGAUGGCACAAUCUCUUCCCUGAUGUGUGUCAAGUUCUUAGAAAAUUGUGGUCCUUCCCAUGACACGUGGAGAUUCUG
rnacentral:lncRNA from 1 species